UUCGAUGAUACGCGACGGUAACCUUACCGUGGACUUAAUGUAGAGUGCUAUUUUUAGAGAUAGAAAUUCCCUUCGGGGCUUUCUGCAAGGUGCUGCAUGGUUGUCGUCAGCUCGUGCCGUGAGGUGUCGGGUUAAGUCCCAUAACGAGCGCAACCCUUAUCGUUAGUUGCCAUCUGGUAAUGCAGGGGACUCUAGCGAAACUGCCACCGUAAGGUGAGAGGAAGGUGGGAUGACGUCAAAUCAGCACGGCCCUUAUGUCCAGGGCUACACACGUGUUACAAUGGUCGGUACAGAGGGCAGCUACCUGGUGACAGGAUGCUAAUCUCAAAAAGCCAUCCUCAGUUCGGAUUGGAGUCUGCAACUCGACUCCAUGAAGUUGGAAUCGCUAGUAAUCGCGGAUCAGCAUGCCGCGGUGAAUACGUUCCCGGGCCUU
rnacentral:rRNA from 1 species